rnacentral:lncRNA from 1 species
AUUAUUUUUACCUGCAAUCGACUUUUCUUACUCGCAUUUUCAAAGAAUGGUGAGUUGUGAUUUUAUUUUAAGUUGAUCUGGAGUUUGAAUUUUUGAAGAAUCGUAGUUUUAUGGUUGGAUUUGCAAUUUUUAAUUAAUUUGGAAAACUUUUCAAUUGUUUUUUAGUUACUUUUUCUGUAAGGUAUGGAGAAAUGUGUUCGUUGAAGACUAUUUAUAGUUUCAUUCAACAACUUGAAAUUUGGAAUUUCUGGUUUUGUUUGGUUGUAACUUGACAAUAAUAUCAUUUUAAGGCAUUUCUUGAUUGUAAUUUCCUUCAUUUUUGUCAUUAAGAUUUUAUUCUCAUUUUGAGAAUUGUUUAAUUCAGACUUUGGUCUUGUUUGGUUGUAAUUUAAUAUCAUCAGUUCUUGAAAUAAGAGACACGAGUUGAAAUGGAUAUGCCUCAGAAUUAAUCCGGUCCUUCGGAAGUUAUGUUUAAGAUGCCGUCUAUUUUUAGAGUUUUGUUAUGGUAUCCCCUUUUUGCCAUAAUUUCUUACUUGACUUGCAUUAGAUAAGUACAAUUUCCCUUACAUGUUUAACUGUUGACUGAAAAAGUGGCUUAUUUACAUUUACAAGUUAUGAUUCAGUUAUAGAGACAACAUAAUCAGUCGGUUUUAAUGAUUACCCUCCUGGGCUUUAUCUCGACCAACUCAAUCAAAAGAAGAUUUUUUUUCAUGAAUUCCUUGUUUUGUCAAUAGUUCAGUAGUUGAUAUCUCUUCACUUGUUUCUCAUGUGAGCUGAAGUGAUGAAUUUUCAGCAAGAGAAGUUUGUGAGGUCAGUUCUCCAUGGCCCUUACGACUUGCAUUUCAUCGAGUCAAUUUCAGGUAGCAAGGGUUUCACAAGGUUCAUGCAUAAGAAAUUUCUCACUUGUAACGUUUUGGAAACCCAGACCUUCCCUCUUGUCUUUGACACGGGUAUUGUUUCUUAAUAUUUUGGAGAAUGAUCAAUCACUAUUGGGUAAUUGGUGGAAAUUUUGUGAUAUUCUAGGAGGUUCUUUUUUAAAAAAAUGAUUUGAACAAGCAUUUUUAUGCAUGAGCUCCUUUGCUAAAUUUACUGUAUCUUGUCUAUCUAAUGGAAAAUUAUUGCCCUCCAACCAGGUUUUGAAAUUUUUCUAUGCAUUUGGUUCUUAUUAGUUCUGCUGCUCUGCAACACUUUACUUUUGAUGCACUAUUAUGUCCAGAUUCUUAAUUUAUUUUCAGGUUUCAAGAUUGGAAAUCGGUAAAAUGCUCAAGCGAAAAAUCUCCUACCUAAGAUGGAGCACAACCAGCCACACUUAUAUCAACGUUGUACUUCGUUGUAGACAAAUUCCACAGAGGGUUCGAAAGUGGUUCUAAAAGAACUAAAAGAUUUACAGAAGCACUGAAAUCAUUCUCGUUGAAUAGGUUUUGGGCCAAAGAUGUGGGAUCUCGGAAGAAAAUUCUUGAUCUGCAAGGAUCAUUUCUUCAGAAGUGGAAUAAAAUAUUUGUACCGACGCGUGUCAUUGCUGUCUCCUUGGAUCCCUUCUUCUAUUACAUUACUGUGAUUGAAAAUGAUAAUAAAUGCCUUUAUUUGGAUCGGAAAUUGGAGGACAUAGCAUGUGUUUUGCGAUCCUUCACUGAUAUCAUUUACCUUAUUCAUAUUAUCUUUCAGUUCCAUACUGGUUUUAUCGCCCCUUCUUCACGAGUAUUUGGAAGAGGUGUUCUAGUCAAAGAUUCUUGGAAAAUAGCAAAGAGAUAUCUGUCCUCUUACUUCCUAGUUGAUAUUCUUGCAGUGCUUUCGCUGCCACAGGUAACAGAGGCUUUUCCUUCGGCAUAGUGGUAUCUGAAUUCGUAAUUUCCAUUGCAAGAAGGGUUAUACAGAGUUUAUUCUGCAUGGAACUUAAGUCUUGCGAUGUUGGAAUGAAUGAAACUUGUUCUUUACCCGUUUUAAGUGUGAGAACUCACUUGCAUACACGUGGAUUUAUAAUUGGAUAUUUCCGGUCGUGGACCUUCAGUAUUGAAUAUUUUUAUGAGCGAAAUUUUAUACCUCAACAAGGAAAAUGGUGUUUGUCAUUGAUCUUCAGCUGAUGAGGAUCUUUUUACUGUAAGAAUUUUUAUUAAGGUUAUAAGCUAUUGCAUCUGUAACUCCAUCUGUUCUGUUUCUUCCAAGAGCAAGAUGCUUACCUUGUAGAUUACUAUUGAAAUUUUGUACUGCACACCUGAUUAGUUGAAAUUAAUUCACACUGUGAAUGUUGCCUUACUGAUCAAUUUUGUAAUUUUCCCAGGUGGUUAUUUGGAUUAUCAUUCCUAAAUUGAAAGGUUUGAGAUCGUUGGAUACGAAGAAUUUGUUAAAAUUUGUGGUAUUCUUCCAGUAUGUACCAAGGGUUCUUC